rnacentral:misc_RNA from 1 species
AACGCAGGCCGCACCUUGCAACAUCACUCUGUGUUGUUACAAGGUAUUCAUGUAUGAGUGUCAGCCCAAUAUCAUUUAUUGGUUCAAGAAGAUGUUCAUUUCAAAAAGAAUUGAUUCAAAUUCUUGAAUACAUAUUUUAUGGAAACAUAUAGUAUGUCUGGCCUCAUAUAUGAAAGGUUACCCGCUGGAUUUAA